rnacentral:lncRNA from 1 species
GUCCUCGUCAUAGUGGGGUGUCUGUUUGUCUGUGUGGUAUGUACAAGACCACAUUCCCGUCCAGUCAAAAUGAAGACUUAAAAUCUGAUACCUUGUGUAGAGAGAGUACAUUGCUCUCUGCACAUAAGGAACCAGGUCCUGAUGUGGACUGUAGCAAAGCAAAAUGAUGUCCCUAUCCAACAUACCAUCAUUUAUUAGUGGCAGUCUAAAUUAACCUGACCUAUCCUUGACUGCCUCUAUUACAUGUCAUAUCUAUUGUAUUUACUGUUCAUUUAUUCUCGUCCUGAACAUGCAUGACAUAUCAACAAUCAAAAGUAUCUCAAAUAAUAACCUAUCCAGAUGUCUCAGAAGUAUAAAAUAGUUACUCUCAAUCUCAAGUAGAAUAUUUUAUGAAAGGUUUGUAAAUUAUGUUGUUUUGUGUGUCAGUAUGUUUGAUUUUACUUUCAUGGGCAUGUUAUAUGAUCCCCCUCUUUUUCAUCAAUAAUAAAUGCAACAUAAAGUCAAAAAAUUUUUAAAAAGCGACAUUUAAUUCUUUCAAACAUCUACACAAUGUAGUAAAAUAAAUACAAUUGUAUAAAAAGACAACCAUUAACAAGUGAAGCAUUCAACAUUAUCAUGUUGAUGCUCUAAUAUCUAAACAUAUAAUUACAAACUAUUUAUCAAACACUUUAUUGUGCAAUUUACAAUAAAUUUUACUUUCAAGCAUUUGUAUUUGUGAAAUUGCACUUACAUAGAUUAAAUAUACAUAUUAUUGUCAGGCUAUUUUGAUUGUGAAGCCAUCAUAAAGUGUUGUACUCUUUUACUUUUCAAAAUAGGUAAUCGAAAAAUAUAUAUCAUUGUAAAAUAGACUGUUCAUUUAUUUUGUAAAUAUAAGAACAAGUACUUAUGCUUUUUGCUCAUUUGUAUGGCAAAACAAGGAAGGAGUUUCAACACGUAUGUGUCUCAAUAAUAAAAAUUGUCUCUUAUUGUAAUAAAAAUCUUUUUUUAAUGGAUCAAGUGAACAGAAAUGAAAUUUGAAUUCCAAUGGUGCUGCUAUAUGUGGAAGCUGUGUGACUUCAUCAUUAUAGUACAAUUUGAGUGAACACAUAAAAUACAAGGCACAAUAUGUAGUGAUGAAUUGUAAAAAUGAUAAAAACAAAAUCACAAGGCACACACUGUUGUGAUUGAUGAAAUUAAUUGGUGAAACGUAAAAAUGCACUCUAAGCACUUGUGUGUACUUUUCUUGUGCUAUGAAAACUACAUUUUCUUCUCAAAAGAAAUUUGCAUUUUCAUUAAUUAUGUAAGGAAAUAUGGUACAAAAUUUCAUAAAUGCAAACUUAUUUAUAACAAAGGUGGAAAGAAAAAUACUGAUUUAUCAUUUUUUGUAACUCUAGAAUGUGGAAAAAAUGUCAUGAAGUAAAAGAAAAACCAAUCAAGUUAUAUGCAGUAUAAUUAUAAGAUGUGGUUAGAUUGCCAAUGAGACCCCUCUCCUUUAGAGACCAAAUGAAAGAAAAAGAUAACAACCAUACGUGAUGACACAUGUUACUUUAACACAUGUUUACUGAGACAAACAAUGGUAAAUCAGGAUACAUUAAUGAAAGUAUAUGGAGAAUGACACAAAAAAAAUGACUUCAUAAUAUCUCAUUCAAGUGUUAAAUGUCUGGGUAAAACGACAUGGACCCCAUAUACCAAAUUAAUCACUCAACAUUUGAUUAAAAUUACACACAGGCACACAUAACUAAAAGCAAAACAACACAAAUCUGUGUGUAAAUUCAGGAACAAAUUUCUUUAACAGCAAAACUUAAACCACUGAUAAUAACAUAGAAUGAGGAAUGAUUUGAUAUAGAUGUAAAUUAAUACAAGAACUAAAUUAUUUCUUAAUCUCCUAUAACUAAACGAUGAGACAGAAAAGUAUUGCACUAAAACAUUCUAUUUUUGUUUAAAUCUACAAAUGCAAAGAGGUCUAUAAACGCUGUGUUACUUUUCUUUCAGAAGAGAAACUAUUGUUUAAGGAAUGUAAUUUCAAUGAAGUCACAAAAAUAAAAAUUCAAAUUCAUAAUAAUAAAAUCAAAAACAUUAUCUACCAUAUUGGUCUAAAACAACUUGUUAACACAACCACAACUAUUUAGAUAGAACAAGUCAUAAAUUGAUAUAGUUAAAUAAAAAUUUAAGAUACCAUCACUACUGAUAAUAUCAAAUGUCUGAUUUCUAAAUUUGAAACAAGAGUUGUAGUAAAAAUCAACUAAAUGACAUAUAUCACACAAUGUAUCUAAAAAUCUGUUUACAAAUAGACACAACAAACAUUAAUUUGGUCUUUUUCAUUAAAUAAACAAAACACAGUAAAACAAGGAAAAACGUCCCCAAUUUCUAUAUUUCAUAUAAAUUUCUCAUUCUUCAAAUAUGAUUUUGAUGGAUUUGUUUGGAUCUUCUGAUUGUUGCUUUGACAUCAUUAACAGAUCAUUUACUGUUACACACAUAAAUUUCUAAAUACCUCAAACACUUGACAUCAUUUAGAAAAAAAAUUUGAAACUACAGACAGUUUUCAAUUAUAGGUUAAGAUUUCAUCAAUAUCAGACAAAAUUACUUUGAAUUUAGUUUUAAACGUAAUACAGUGACAAAUCUUUGUAUUGGGACUUGACAUGUCCAUUCACAGUAAGUCUAGAAAAGAGUUCCAAAGUAAAUCCAAUUAUGACUAGUACACAACAUCUUGAUAAAAUUUUCUAUAAAAAACUAAACAUUUCAAAUCUAAUUAAUCUCUAUUAACACAUUGUAUCUACAAAUAAACUUCACAUAACAUUACAGAUAAAUCUAUAUAUACAACCUUAACAUUAUUUGUCACAAUGUUAUAUUCAACAAUUGGAUUAAAAUUAAAUAGAAUAUAAAAUCACUAAUUUAUCACAAUUUUAAUAAACAACAUGAUUAAAUAUUUAUGUAGUACAUGUACUUUAAUUUCAAAAUGAUCUCAAUUGCCAUACAAGCCAUUUCAAAUGCAUUUUUAUAUACAAAUUUUUUGGGAAUCUUUUAGACAACCCAAGGUGAUAAUAAUUAAUUAAAAUAAAAUAUAUUCCAUUACUUGUGUUUAUUCUAUGAAUAGUUAUUUUAACUUCUAUCUUCUCUACAAAAUGCAAGUAGAUAUAAGAAGAUGUGUUAAGAGUGUCAACGAGACCAUUCUCCAUCCAAGUCACUAUGUGUAAAAGUAAAUCAUUAUAGGUUAAAGUAAGGCCUUCAACACGGAGGCCUGGCUCACAAUGAACAGCAUGAUAUAAUGGGCCCCCAAAAAAUACUGGUUUUAGCCAUAGUUUCAGAUCAAGCAAAGAAAGGGGAGAUAAUUUAACCAUUGAUCCAAAAUAUUUAAUUUUUUAUAAUCAGAAUAUGCAUCUUCUAUUCAAUUUAAAAUUGUCAGUAGUAAAAAUCAUAUGGAAAUAUUUAAAAACAAAAAACAGAAUAUUAUCACAGAUACACUAACAAAGAUGUACAAAUAAUUUGGGAUUGUCUAAAAAUAUUUCUCGCUUUUUCAGAUAGAUAAAGUUAUAUAUUCUUGAUGACAUCUCUGGUCAGAAAAUGUCAAUCACAAUUUUCAUUAAAAUUGAUUGAUAAAGGGUUUGAACUUUUCAAAGGAUGUGAAUACAAAAGAUCAUAAUAGGUGGAACAAACACUUUUUUAACUGAUAUGAUAAAGAAAAGGAUGAGUGUAACUAUGUAAAGGCCAAGACAUGUGUUUAUCAAAGCAUGCAUAAAAACAUAACUUUUAACACCAUGUAAUUGAAGCACAUACAGGUGUGACAUCACUAAAACAACGAUUCACUAGUAGCUAUAUGUUAAAAUUGUGCAAAAACAAAAACAUUACAACACAUGCACUUUUGUGCAAUUCAUUGCCAGAAAAAAUUAUGUUCUUUCUAUAAAAUUGACAUUCUAGGAAUAGAAAAAAGUUUAUAUUCAUUAGAUUUAUUAACAAAUUCAUUACACUUGAAGUGAACCAAAUUCUUUUGACAAACAUCUCAAACAGAAAGUCAACCUUACACCUGCAAAUUAUACAAAUGCUUCUGAAAAAGUAAGCAAGAUAAAAAUUUUAUCAUUUCCUCAAGACAAUAUCUCUUAUCAUGCUGAAUUUAAAAUGAAAAAUCCAUAUCACUUCUCCUAACAAGCAAUUUAACUAUCAAAUAUAAA